UACGGAGGGGGCUAGCGUUGUUCGGAAUUACUGGGCGUAAAGCGCACGUAGGCGGCUUUGCAAGUUAGAGGUGAAAGCCCGGGGCUCAACCCCGGAAUUGCCUUUAAAACUGCAUCGCUAGAAUUGUGGAGAGGUAAAUGGAAUUCCGAGUGUAGAGGUGAAAUUCGUAGAUAUUCGGAAGAACACCAGUGGCGAAGGCGACUUAUUGGACACAUAUUGACGCUGAGGUGCGAAAGCGUGGGGAGCAAACAGG
rnacentral:rRNA from 1 species